AGUAACCUGCCCUGGAUGGGGAAUAACAGCUGGAAACAGCUGCUAAUACCGCAUAAUGCAGUUGGGCCGCAUGGCUCUGACUGCCAAAGAUUUAUCGCUCUGGGAUGGACUCGCGUCUGAUUAGCUAGUUGGUGGGGCAACGGCCCACCAAGGCGACGAUCAGUAGCCGGACUGAGAGGUUGGCCGGCCACAUUGGGACUGAGACACGGCCCAGACUCCUACGGGAGGCAGCAG
rnacentral:rRNA from 1 species